GUUAGGAAUAUUCGUCAAUGGGGGAAACCCUGAACGAGCAAUGCCGCGUGAGCGAUGAAGGUCCUCUGGAUUGUAAAGCUCUGUUGUAAAGGAAGAAACCUUACCAUAGGGAAUGAUGGUAAGCUGACGGUACUUUACCAGAAAGCCCCGGCUAACUACGUGCCAGCAGCCGCGGUAAUACGUAGGGGGCGAGCGUUAUCCGGAUUUAUUGGGCGUAAAGGGUGCGUAGGCGGUUUGUUAAGUUUGAGAUUAAAGCCCGAGGCUUAACCUCGGUUCGUUUCAAAAACUGGCAGACUUGAGUGUAGUAGAGGCAAGUGGAAUUUCUAGUGUAGCGGUUAAAUGCGUAGAUAUUAGAAGGAACACCAGUGGCGAAGGCGGCUUGCUGGGCUAUCACUGACGCUGAUGCACGAAAGCGUGGGGAGCAAAUAGGAUUAGAAACCCUAGUAGUCC
rnacentral:rRNA from 1 species